CGAAGCUUUGAGACCCGGCCUAUAUGCUCUAAUCGACUCAUGCUCAGCCGAUGAUCUUCAACUACUUCACACUACAUUUGGAGAGGGCCCUUGCAGAAGUACACUGGCUGCUCUUCAGCAUGAUUACACAGUUAAUUUCCAGUUUGAAGGGAAGGUUUGAUUAUUAAUACAUCUAUCUCUGGUGCCUCAUUACCAUGUUCUGUCCUCAGAAGCUUCUAGAAUCAUCUCCUACACCUCCCAAGUCUUGAUUUGAUGACAUGUUUUGUUUGAGUAAAAAGAUAUGCAUGUAAUCUCAAAGUUUUGUUAGCGAUAGAAUUGAUUCUAUUUUUAUCUUUUUCGUUAUUGAUUUUGGAUAUGUAUUAAUAUUGUAUUAUUCAUUCAGCCUUCAGGCGUCAAAAAGCAAAUCAUUAUAAUCAAAGCAUAUUUGUUCUUUAA